rnacentral:rRNA from 1 species
UACGGAGGAUCCGAGCGUUAUCCGGAUUUAUUGGGUUUAAAGGGUGCGUAGGCGGAAAUGUAAGUCAGUGGUGAAAUCCUGCAGCUUAACUGUAGAAUAGCCGUUGAAACUGUGUUUCUUGAGUACAUUUGAGGUAGGCGGAAUGUGGUGUGUAGCGGUGAAGUGCAUAGAUAUACCACAGAACACCGAUUGCGAAGGCAGCUUACUAAACUGUCACUGACGCUGAUGCACGAAAGCGUGGGUAUCAAACAGGAUUAGA